UAAAAUAAACCACGAAUUACUUCAUCGAAAUUUAUUCCCUACAGAACUGUUUCGUAUGGCAGUUGUUUAACUUGCCACACUCGUCAAGAGAGUCCCAUGUACACUG